CGUAGGUGGCAAGCGUUGUCCGGAUUUACUGGGCGUAAAGGGCGUGCAGGCGGCCUGUUAAGUCUAGGGUGAAAGCUCCCGGCUCAACUGGGAGAGGUCCUUGGAUACUGGCGGGCUUGAGGGAGGUAGAGGAGAAUGGAAUUCCCGGUGUAGUGGUGAUAUGCGUAGAUAUCGGGAGGAACACCUGUGGCGAAGGCGGUUCUCUGGGCCUUACCUGAUGCUGAGACGCGAAAGCGUGGGGAGCGAACCGGAUUAGAUACCCGGGUAGUCCACGCCGUAGACUAUGGACACUAGGUGUGGGGGGUAUCGACCCCCUCCGUGCCGAAGCUAACGCAAUAAGUGUCCCGCCUGGGGAGUACGGCCGCAAGGCUA
rnacentral:rRNA from 1 species